UACGGAGGAGGCAAGCGUUAUCCGGAAUUAUUGGGCGUAAAGGGUCCGUAGGUGGUUCACCAAGUCUGCUGUCAAAGGGUGGGGCUUAACCUCAUAAAGGCAGUGGAAACUGGUGAGCUAGAGUGCGGUAGGGGUAAGGGGAAUUCCCAGUGUAGCGGUGAAAUGCGUAGAGAUUGGGAAGAACAUCGGUGGCGAAAGCGCCUUACUGGGCCUGCACUGACACUGAGGGACGACAGCUAGGGGAGCGAAAGGG
rnacentral:rRNA from 1 species